UACGGGGGGGGGCAAGCGUUGUUCGGAAUUACUGGGCGUAAAGGGCUCGUAGGCGGCCAACUAAGUCAGACGUGAAAUCCCUCGGCUUAACCGGGGGAACUGCGUCUGAUACUGGAUGGCUUGAGUUUGGGAGAGGGACGCGGAAUUCCAGGUGUAGCGGUGAAAUGCGUAGAUAUCUGGAGGAACACCGGUGGCGAAGGCGGCAUCCUGGACCAACACUGACACUGAGGAGCGAAAGCCAGGGGAGCAAACGGG
rnacentral:rRNA from 1 species